rnacentral:lncRNA from 1 species
AUACACAUAUUGUAUGCAAAAUGACAACAAAAGACGAUGUAAAAAAUUGCACGUAUGUGGUGGAUAAAAUGAAAAAUGCUUUGUUUGAAAGGAAUAUGUACGAUUAUAAAAAAAUUACUGAAUUUUUCGAAACCAAAUUUUGUAAACUAAGUACAUCACAAUAUGUAAUGCAAAAUAUAUCACAGACUAUUAGUCAGAAUAUAGUACCCAAAACAAUCACACAUAAUAAUAAAAGAGACUUUAACGGUACUAAGAUUUUACAACACAAGCAAAGUAGUAAUAAUAAUUUUAGUCGUAAAGAUUUCGAAAUAAAUAAAAAAAGUAAUACAAAUAAUAUAAUAAAAGGGCAAAAAAAAUGUAAUAUAAACCCUCAAAACGAUAGUAAUAACUUAUAUAGUUCAAAUAUAAAAGAUUUGGAAAAUGGUUGUCAGUAUAACUUAAAAGAAAACAAACGCAUAACUAUGAAGUUAAAGGACGACAUACAGAAGCAAGCAUAUUUAUUUUGUGAACGAAAAAGUGGUAAAGGCAAACUCAAAGAUAGUAAUAGUGACACAAAAGGCUCUAACUCUAACAAUGGUAGCGACAUUAAUAUAGUAGAAAAUCAAUAUGAAGGUAAAAAGAAAGAAAUAGGAAAUAAAAAAAAAUAUAUAUAUACUGCAAACAAAAUGUUCGUUAAGAAAGCAAAAAAAAUAAUUGUGAAUAAAACAAAUAACACGAAAAACACGAAUGAUAAUAAUAUUGAUGUACUGAAGAAUAUAUACUUUAAUAAAGUUUUUAAAGAAGAAGAAGUAUAUAACAUAAAACUAAAUUAUCUUGGUAACUUUAAUCAUAUAGAAAAUGAAGAAAAUGAAAAAGCUUUAAAAUUUUAUAUGAAAGAUUAUAAAUGUAUAUUUUGCAUUGAUGAAAAGAAUAUUGAAAAUAUGUGUUUAAAAAAAAAUGAUGUUUUAUUAUAUAACUAUUGUAUCUUUUGUGUCAACUUUUUAAAAUUAUUAAUAUCAUAUGGUUUAAAAAAUAAAGGGAAUUUAAUUAAUAUAAACUUUACUCAUACACAUAUUCAAAACAUUACAUAUACUUAUAAAUGUGCCCAAAAACAUUUAUUUUUUAUUUCACUAUUUCAUAUUCUGCACAAUUUAUGGUGCCCACACUAUUAUUGUUUAUUCCAAUGUAAAA